GGGAGUGGGAGGGUGAUUAACAGGGGAAGAAUUAGGAAAGAGGACACGCAAGACCACAGUAAGAGAUGGAAAUAAGAGAAUAUUCCUGAUUUCCACUGGAUGACUUUGACUGGUAAUGUCAUUGCAUGUACACAGUUUAAGACAGAGCAUCUGGUGAUUCUCGGACCUUCAAGCAAGUGUCACAUCUCAGGUGAACCUUGGCAGUUUUAAGAUGAACAAAGUAAUCAAAGCAAAAAUGUCAAAUAAUAAUAAUAAUAAUGAUAUCAGAAGAAUGUCCAGUGCCAUGGUUGGAUUCCCAGAAGGCAGCAUCUGCUCAUGCCAUCAACAACAUGGUGCCAUUUCAGUCAUCCUCUUUUUGUCCCAAAGACAGAAAAAAAAUAGAAAAAAGAAAGAGAAAAAGACACCACGAACCGUCUAUCCUCCUGGUAAUACAAAUACACCUGUAAAUAAACAUGUCAAUGUCUACACACAACGCACAUUUAUGCAGAAUCCAUCCUCUCGGUGCUUCCGUAGUUAUCAAGUAAAAGUCCUUCUAAGCCUAAGAAAUGAUAGUAUUAAUUCAGUCUUGGGGUGUGGGGGGAAAGGUGGACUAUCAUCAAAUAAAAAAGGCGAGGCUAAUUAAGUGACAUCCACUGGGGACUGGGAAA
ensembl:lncRNA LINC01837 long intergenic non-protein coding RNA 1837